GACAGAGGGUGCGAACGUUGUUCGGAAUUACUGGGCGUAAAGCGCAUGUAGGCGGCAGCGCAAGUCGGGCGUGAAAUCCCACGGCUCAACCGUGGAAGUGCACUCGAAACUGCGCAGCUAGAGUCCCGGAGAGGAAGGUGGAAUGCUUGGUGUAGAGGUGAAAUUCGUAGAUAUCAAGCGGAACACCGGUGGCGAAGGCGGCCUUCUGGAUAGUGACUGACGCUGAGGUGCGAAAGCGUGGGGAGCAAACAGG
rnacentral:rRNA from 1 species